CAAGGAGAUCGCAUCUGAGGAGACUUUCUCUGACCAUAGGUGUGGGAUUUGGCAGUAAAAGUGAAUAUGAUAUCCACCGCUGAGGUGGAGAAGGAGAUCACUCUUUGAUAGCAAGGGUAAUUUGGCUAAUUUGGACAGUCCGAAAUGAUAUGAUAUUUGAAAACAUUGUUUACCUUUCUAUUCAGUUUAUACGAAAAGUGCCUUCUGUGUUAUCCGAGUUGACACUACCCCAAAUCAAAUCACUUUCAAAGUUCUAUUUAGGUACUGGAGGAACCAAAAGCUGUGAUAUUCUGGUGGCCUCUCUCC
rnacentral:lncRNA from 1 species